UCCAGUCCUCCAGUCUGAGAAUCAUUUUCUUCACAAAACCUAGGGUUUCAUCGUCCCCAUCAGAAAAUCAACUACGGCAAAAAUCUGAAUAGUCUCCCCUCAUCACUGAUCAAAUCAAACCUAUGGUUUAAUCAAUCCAUCGUAAAUUCAAUCUACAAACAAAGGAAUUUCUACUAGUAAUCAAACAACGAGAUCUGAUUAAACCCAUUUCUGGGUUUCUUCUUCACAGAGGGAUUUCAGCCAGCAAUCUCCCAAACAAACAAGGAGGAGGAGGAGAAGAUAACAAUGGUGGAAUUUGCAACAAUGCACGGUGGGAAUGACAGUAGGUAUUCAUAAUGGUAAAGAUCAUAUUAUUAGGUCUAUUAAUGAAAGAAUGGUUGGUCAUAGAUUGGGGGAAUUUGCACCAAAAACAAAGAAGACGUUGAAGGAGUUGUUGAUGAAGAGGAAGAAUGUCAAAGCGUUUUUGAAGAGUAAAGGUGAGAUUGAGAAGAAAGGUACUAGAUGGGGGACUCUGAGAAUGGUUUUGGAAGUUCAAUUUCAGCUAGGUUCAAGCAUUGAUUUAGGUAUGAAUAGUCAAGCUCAUGCUUGUAUUGGAGGCCGAAGUGUCUAGUACACUAGGGAGAGUGUGAUAUGAUCAAGAGAAGAUCUUUACAUACUCGAGCUAUCAAAUUUUAUUAAUACUUGAUGAAUUUGUUGAGAUGUUGAGCAAGGGUUUUAAAGAUCAAAUCUAUGACGUUUAUCAUAUCUUCCACCAUAACUUCAGGUUUGCUUGAUUUCGGCAACACUUCCUCAUGAAAUACUGGAGAUCACUAGCAAGUUAAUGACAGAACCUGUGAGGAUCCUUGUAAAAUGUGACGUUGGAGGGUAUCAAACAAUUUUUUGUUGCUGUUGAAAAAGAAAAAUAGAAGUGUGAUACUUUGUGCGAUCUUUAUGAUACUCUGACGAUCACUCAAGCUGCUGUUUUCUGUAACACAAAGAGGAAGGUUGAUUGGUUAACUGAGAAGAUGUGCAGCUAUAACUUCACAGUCUCUUCAAAGAAUGGAGAUAUGCCUCAGAAGGAGCGAGAUGCAAUUCAGACCAGGGGACACCCGUGUUUUGAUAACAACAGAUAUAUGGGCUCGUGGGAUUGAUGUUCAACAGGUAAGUUAUUUCAGUAUGGUUUCUCUAAAUCUGAUUGUGCACCAUAUCCGCUGAAGAUGAUAAAAAAAUAGAAAAACACACUUAGACCCUGACCUUCUUUAUUUAUUGGAUUUUACCAAUGAAGGAUCUCAUCAGGUUAUUUAUAGUUUGUUAACUCAAUUUCAAAAGUACAUCAUGUUAAAUAAAGAAAUGUAGGCGAGGUCAGUUUCAGCUAGUGAUAAGAACCAAAGAUAUCAAUCAACGUUGCAAUUUGCUGCAAAGCUUCUUGUUCAGAUACAGCGGCAGCAACAAGGAAACUUUCAGGCUGCACAAGGACCUGGCAAUUAUCAAUGAGAACUGCUUCAUGUCGGGGUUCAAGCAUUGAUUUUGGUAAUUAUAUGAAUAGUCAAGUUCAUGCUUGUAUUGGAGGUCAAAGUGUCGGUGAAGAUACAAGGAAAUUAGAGGAUGUAAUUCAUGUUGUAUAGUCAAGUUCAUGCUUGUAUUGGAGGACAGUUUGUGAUAUGAUUAAGAGAAGAUCUUUACAUACUCGAGCUAUUAAAUUAUAAUUACUUGAUGAAUCUGUUGAGUAAGGGUUUUAAAGAUCAAAUCUGUGAAGUUCAUCGAUAUCUUCCACCAGAACUUCAGUACUGGAGAUCAGUAGCAAGUUCAUGACAGAACCUGUGAGGAUCCUUGUAGAAUGUGAUGAAUUGACGUUGGAGGGUAUCAAACAAUUUUUGUUGUUGUUGAAAAAGAACGAAAGUUUGAUACUUUAUGCGAUCUUUAUAAUAGUCUGACCAUCACUCCAGCUGAUAUUUUCUGUAACACGGAGGGGAAGAUAACAUUUGUCUGUCUUUUGUGGAGUAUGUUAAUGUAGUGUGUGUGAACUUCACUGACUCUGAUCCCCACUGCCAACUGUAGUUAUAUCUAGGAUGUAAAUUAUUCCUUAGGGAAAUGGUAAAUAGUAAAUACUGACUUACCUAUUUACCCUACCAUUUUUCAUGACAGAUGAUCAUAUUUGUUUUAGUCACCUUGUCCUAUCCAAUGAUUAUUUUACCAAUACUAGUAGAGGGCACAUGCACUGCAAGUGUUAUUUGGAGUUGAACGUAUGUUUUAGUGUUCUAAGUAUACAGAUUUUACGAAUUUGGCCUCAAAUUAUUUUCACUUCGUUGUUGUAUGUGGGGAUAUUAUAUAGUAAAAAGGGAAAAACACCUCUUUGCUUUUUAUAUGGUAGAGACUUAGAGAAACGGAGAAUAGAGAGAUAACAACAGAUAAAAGGAAACAGAACUUUUCUUGGUUUUGAUUAUCUCUCAUUCAAUUGACAAUAUGGGGUUAUAACUAACUCUCAUACCACGACAUUAACACUAUCUCUACUAUAUAUUAAGCAAAGUGGCGUUUUACGCGGCUUUUUACUUAAAUAUCCCCAUGUACGAAAGAGAAGUAACAAUAAUACGAGGUCAAGUUAGAACACUUAAUAUUGUUACUUAAUAUUUCUCAAGUAAAAAGGCGUCUUAAUGAAUUGGCUAUAUAGGAUAUAAUUACAAUGAGGUCAAGUUAGAACACUUAAUAUUGUUAGUUCUUAAUAUAAAUUUCUAAAAAUGUGUUUGAGAAAUGUAUUUAUCUCAAUUAUUUCUAUAGCAGCCGAAAGAGAAGUAACAAUAAUAGACAUGCCUGCAGGGCCCAUAUGAAGUUCUUGUUAUUGCUGAUGAACAUGCUAGCCCUGUUCAUAAGCAGCUGAUUUAUUGUCUCAGGUGUUUAUAGAUACAUUUACUUCCGGAAUUCUCUUUUAGUUGGUACUGUGAACUUCAUGUAAAAUAAAUGAAUUAUUCAGUAUUUUCUUUGUCCUUCACAAACGGUUCCUGUUCACAGAGUGUUCUAUUUCUACUAGGCCAGUCAGUGUUGCUUAUACUGUUUUUGUUCGCUCGUGAUAUGGUUGAGGUUAGCAUUUGUUACAAACCUCUAGGCCAUCUCUUAUGAAGAUUCGGAUAAA